AGACCCGAAACCCGGUGAUCUAGCCAUGGGCAGGUUGAAGGUUGGGUAACACUAACUGGAGGACCGAACCGACUAAUGUUGAAAAAUUAGCGGAUGACCUGUGGCUGGGGGUGAAAGGCCAAUCAAACCGGGAGAUAGCUGGUUCUCCCCGAAAGCUAUUUAGGUAGCGCCUCGUGAACUCAUCUCCGGGGGUAGAGCACUGUUUCGGCUAGGGGGCCAUCCCGGCUUACCAACCCGAUGCAAACUGCGAAUACCGGAGAAUGUUAUCACGGGAGACACACGGCGGGUGCUAACGUCCGUCGUGAAGAGGGAAACAACCCAGACCGCCAGCUAAGGUCCCAAAGUCAUGGUUAAGUGGGAAACGAUGUGGGAAGGCCCAGACAGCCAGGAUGUUGGCUUAGAAGCAGCCAUCAUUUAAAGAAAGCGUAAUAGCUCACUGGUCGAGUCGGCCUGCGCGGAAGAUGUAACGGGGCUAAACCAUGCACCGAAGCUGCGGCAGCGACAC
rnacentral:rRNA from 1 species